rnacentral:rRNA from 1 species
CCUACGGGCGGCAGCAGUGGGGAAUAUUGGGCAAUGGGCGCAAGCCUGACCCAGCAACGCCGCGUGAAUGAAGAAGGCUUUCGGGUUGUAAACUUCUUUUGUUAGGGAAGAGUAGAAGAAGGUACCUGACGAAUAAGCUACGGCUAACUACGUGCCAGCGGCCGGGGUAAUACGUUGGUGGCAAGCGUUGUCCGGAUUUAGUGGGUGUAAAGGGCGUGUAGCCGGGUUGAUAAGUCAGAUGUGAAAUCCUGCGGCUUAACCGGAGAAUUGCAUUUGAAACUGUUGAUCUUGAGUACUGUAGAGGCAGACGGAAUUCCUAGUGUAGCGGUGAAAUGCGUAGAUAUUAGGAGGAACACCAGUGGCGAAGGCAGUCUGCUGGACAGCAACUGACGGUGAGGCGCGAAAGCGUGGGGAGCAAACAGGAUUAGAUACCCGUGUAGUC